CCGCUCCGAGAGCGUCAGAAACUACAUCUCCCAGCCUGCCCCAGGGGCGCUUCCGCCCUCUCCGCAGCUCAGGCUGCAGAAUAAUGUCUAUGUUUCGCUCCAGUUCAUCCCGUCUUCUCAUUGGACUGGUUAGAGAAAUGACUGCAGAGGAGCCAGUUCCGGUAGGUAUUAUCAGAGGGUUGCUGGUGGGUUCCUCCAGGAGGGAGACGGACAGCAAAUACAUGGGAGAUGGGAAGGUUUGCACAGUCUGGUUUGGAGGAAAUGCACAGGGUGGAGAAAGGGAGGAGGACAGGGGUGUGCUAAACCUGCUGGGAGUUAUUUAAUAAGUGGCCUAGAUUCUAGGAACAGACCCAUGAGGUUCGGCAGUGGAAAUGCUCUAGUUUGUGGAGCAGAA